UAUGGCCACAUCAUGUUGAAACAGUGGUUUCUGUAUGAUCACUGAAGUUAAGCAACCAGCCUGAUUAGUACUAAGAUGGGUGACCGCUUAGGAAUACCAGGUACUGUAUG